rnacentral:rRNA from 1 species
CCCAGUGUGACUCGUCACACUAUCAUUAACUGAAUCCAUAGGUUAAUGAGGCGAACCGGGGGAACUGAAACAUCUAAGUACCCCGAGGAAAAGAAAUCAACCGAGAUUCCCCCAGUAGCGGCGAGCGGGAAAUCGUCAUCAAGCUGGAAAAAAUCAUCAAUCUGUUUGCGCUCGAUAGCAAUAUGUUGCAGGUGCAGGUUUUGCGCCAGUUGAUAGCACUGGUUGUCGGUGAUCAUCGCCGCCGCACGGCGGAC